AGCAGCCGCGGUAAUUCCAGCUCCAAUAGCGUAUAUUAAAGUUGUUGCAGUUAAAAAGCUCGUAGUUGAAUUUCGGGGUCGGUAGGUUGGUCGUGCCACCGGUACGUACUGGUCUCACUGAUUCCUCCUUCCUGAUGAGCUGUAAUGCCAUUAAUUUGGUGUUGCAGGGAAUCUGGACUGUUACUUUGAAAAAAAUUAGAGUGUUUAAAGCAGGCUAACGCUUGAAUACAUUAGCAUGGAAUAAUGAAAUAGGACGUUCGAUCCUAUUUUGUUGGUUUCUAGGAUUGACGUAAUGAUUAAUAGGGAUAGUUGGGGGCAUUAGUAUUCAAUUGUCAGAGGUGAAAUUCUUGGAUUUAUUGAAGACUAACUACUGCGAAAGCAUUUGCCAAGGAUGUUUUCAUUAAUCAAGAACGAAAGUUAGGGGAUCGAAGACGAUCAGAUACCGUCGUA
rnacentral:rRNA from 1 species